CAAUAGCGUAUAUUAAAGUUGUUGCAGUUAGAACGCUCGUAGUCGGAUUUCGGGGCGGGCCGACCGGUCUGCCGAUGGGUAUGCACUGGUCGGCGCGUCCUUCCUUCCGGAGACCGUCCCUACUCUUAACUGAGCGGGGGCGGGAGACGGGACUUUUACUUUGAAAAAAUCAGAGUGUUUCAAGCAGGCAGCUCGCUCUUGCAUGGAUUAGCAUGGGAUAAUGAAAUAGGACGUUGGUGCUAUUUUGUUGGUUUCGAACACCGAAGUAAUGAUGAGAAGGGACAGUCAGGGGCACUCGUAUUCCGCCGAGAGAGGUGAAAUUCUCAGACCAGCGGAAGACGAACCACUGCGAAAGCAUUUGCCAGGGAUGUUUUCACUGA
rnacentral:rRNA from 1 species